rnacentral:lncRNA from 1 species
AUGCACCUUGCCUGUGGGUGCAUCUACAGUUACCUCUCUUCCCGAGUCACUGGAGUCCUCACAGAAAGAAGGCAACAAGAGCUACAGCCAGGAUUUCAAAGGCUCCCUGAGCAGAAGAGGAAAGUGGUGAGGUCACCAGCCGAGGAGUGGAUGGGGAGAAGAGAGAACGGAAACUCAUUGAGAAAUACAUUGUGUCAGCUGGGAAACCGGACAGGGUCAUUGGCCACCAGGCCACGAGGACAAAGGGAGCAGAAUCGAUGAACAGGAUUUCAGAUGGCCGUUACUUGAAUUGGAUCUCCAGAACCCAUAUAUAUAAGGGGCCAGAUGCUGAGGCAGUAAUUUGUAACCAGCACUCCUACUAAAGGAUGGACAGCAGAGACAGAAGAAUUCACCAGAAGUUGGCAAGCCAGGUCUCCUGCAAAAUGCCAUGCAGCAAAAACCAAGAGAAGCUGUGCUUCAGUAAGAAGUAAGAUCAGAACUGACUCCUGAAAAUAUUUCCCUCUGUCCUCUACACACACACACACACACACACACACACACACACACACACACACAGAAAGAGAGAGAGACAGACAGACAGACAGAGACAGAGAGACAGAGACGGAGACAGAGACAAGACAGAGAUGGACAGAGACACACAUAUCCAUAGACACACACACACAGAGACAGAGACGUAGACAGAGACAAGACAGAGAUGGAUAGAGACACACAGACCCAUAGACACACACACACAAUUAUUUUUUAAACCAAGGGGAGAAAAAGCAACUAGCACCAAACUCUGGGGCAUUGUGGGUGCACGGGGGUAGGAUGCUCUAUUGACUGCACCUGGGAGAGAUCAAGAGAGAAUAUCUGAGAACACCUGGAGCAGAGUCCUGAGGAGGACUAGUUUGUAGCUGCAAGAGACCCAGCAGAGUCAGGGCAAAGGAUUGCAUAGGCAUGGUGACAACAGGAACACACAAGGCUAAAGAUGGGACAGCAUCCAAGUUCAACUGUGUGGCCCGACGAAAGCAUGUUAGGAGCUCAGGGAAUAUAGACAGCACAAGGAUGCUAUCUUCUAUUUCACAGCACUCUAUAGUCAUCUCUUUGUCAUACACUUUGUCAUCUCUUAUCUUGAUUGGACCAUGUCAUAGUUAUGGCACGUGAGCAUCAGGGCACAAGUGGCUUGGCUAUAGCCUUGCAGGAAGUCGGUUCCUGGCCUUUGGUUCCUGCUUCAGGGGUGAUGGUGAGCUGAGGGCUUCUUACUAGCCUCAGCUGUGAGCCACAGCUACAUAAGACACUGGGGCAGUGCUGGCUCUGGCUGGGCCUCGUGGGAAAGGUGGGAAGGGAAAGGCCUGAGUGCUCUUCCUACUUUGCUGCUCACCUUUCUCCCUGUGGUGGUGUGGGCUGCUCAUCUUGGUCUUUUGGCCUCGGGGCACUCUCUGGAUACUAGAGGCCACAGUGCUUUUAGUGCUGCAGGCUGGAGUGAGUGUCCCCUGGAGAGUGGCUUUCUACUAUCCUCUGAUGGGUGUUGGUGGCUAAGUCCCCCAGCUCUUCCCUCUUCUGUGGGAUAGCUGCAAUGUUUCCAGAGCUCCCCAGCAGAAUCAAGCUCUAGUUGCCAGCAGAUCUACUGAAUCUCAGUUGUAUGGGAUGGAGCUGUUUAACCUCUGUUUUCAUAAAAAUAAUUUAUAAAUGGUUUCUGUUCAACUUCCAAGAGCUAGUUUCUGCCCCCUUGGGGGCGAUAUUGCCCUUGCUGAGGACACAUCUUUUAGAGAGACUUUAUGUCAGAGCAAGAGUCAGAGAAACUGCAUGGCUGAGUAAACAAUAAAAAAGUAGCCCUGGUCUGGUGGUGCACGCCACCUCCUUAGCCCCCAAGCUUUAGUUGUUAUUAAUUUAAAAAAUUUUAGUUAAAAGUAUUUUAUAGGCAUGGUUACCUUGCCUGCAUACAUGUCUAUAUACCACACACGUGCAGUGCUCAUGAAGACUAGUAGAGGGCAUCUGGUUUUCUGGGACUUACAGAAUGCUAACUGCCAUGUGGGUGCUGAGAAUCAAGCCCUUGUCCUUAGAGGACCCAGUGCUCUUAACUGCUAACCCAUCUCUCCUGCCUCUAAUUAGGUUUCUCUGUCUCUCUAUCUCUCUCUGUCUCCAUCUCUCUCUGUCUCUUGGUCUGUCUCUGUCUGUCUCCGACUAUCCCUCUGUCUCUCUGUCUCUGUCUCUGUCUCUGUCUCUCUCUCUCUCUCUUUUAACAGUCUCAUGUAUCCCAAACUGGCCUAGAAUUCACUAUAACCUAAGAUUCCUGAUCCUCCUGCCUUUACCUCCCAAGUACUAAGAUUAUGGGUGUCUG